rnacentral:lncRNA from 1 species
UACACCACUUGAGCGCACUGUUGGUGAUCCCUUUGCCUAUAAAAGCAGGCCGAAAGCACAUUCGUAGGAGGUUGGACCUUUUGGGGAUCACAACAGCAACAACAACAACAACAACAACAACAACAACAACAACAACAACAACAACACCAACAACACCAGCAACAACCACCAUGACAUGAACAACCACUAUCACAACAAUAACAACAAC